rnacentral:tRNA from 1 species
GCCCCGGUGGCGGAAUUGGUAGACGCAGCGGAUUCAAAAUCCGCCGCUGGUAACAGCAUGGGAGUUCGAUUCUCCCCCGGGGCACCA